GAGGGCAUAGCUCAGUGGUAGAUUGCAUGCCUUAGGCAUGCAUGAGGUCCUGGGUUCAAUUCCCAGUACCUCCA
rnacentral:tRNA from 1 species